AAGCUCGUAGUUGAAUUUCGAGACCGGUUUACUGGUCGUGCUUUUGUACGUACUGGUAUAAUCGAUUUCUCUUUUCUGACGAACUAUAAUGCCAUUAACUUGGUGUUAUAGGGAAUCAGGACUGUUACUUUGAAAAAACUUAGAGUGUUUAAAGCAGGCUCUCGCUUGAAUACAUUAGCAUGGAAUAACGAAUAGGACGUUUGAUUUUAUUUUAGUUGGUUUCUAGGAUCGACGUAAUGAUUAAUAGGGAUAGUUGGG
rnacentral:rRNA from 1 species